rnacentral:tRNA from 1 species
CGGGGAGUAAAUUAAUUGGUGGAUUAUUUGCUUUGGGAGCGAAAGGUUGUGAGUUCAAGUCUCAUUUUCUCGA